rnacentral:rRNA from 1 species
UGGGGAAUCUUGCGCAAUGCGCGAAAGCGUGACGCAGCAACGCCGCGUGGGGGAAGACGGCCUUCGGGUUGUAAACCCUUUCAGGAGGGACGAAGGUUCGGCGGUGAAUAGCCGACCGGACUGACGGUACCUCCAGAAGAAGCUCCGGCUAACUACGUGCCAGCAGCCGCGGUAAUACGUAGGGGGCAAGCGUUGUCCGGAAUCAUUGGGCGUAAAGCGCGCGUAGGCGGCCCUGUAAGUCCGUUGUGAAAGUCAAAGGCUCAACCUUUGAAAGCCGAUGGAUACUGCAGGGCUAGAGUCCGGAAGAGGCGAGUGGAAUUCCUGGUGUAGCGGUGGAAUGCGCAGAUAUCAGGAGGAACACCAAUAGCGAAGGCAGCUCGCUGGGACGGUACUGACGCUAAGGCGCGAAAGCGUGGGGAGCGAACAGGAUUAGAUACCCUGGUAGUCCACGCCGUAAACGAUGGGCACUAGGUGUGGGAGGUGUCGACUCCUCCCGUGCCGUCGCUAACG